rnacentral:snoRNA from 1 species
AAGACUCUACUUUCAGGGCUCAUUUCUAUCAUGCAAUACUAGAGAAGUUUCUCUGAAUGUUCAGAGCACUGGAAACCAAACGGAGGAGGCAGGCAUUCUUUCUGGAGCAUGUAGCCAGCUCAUAGUGUUGUUUCGUUGCAGCUGCUGCUUGCCAUUGAUGAUCCUUCUUGUCUUCCUUAAGUGGAGUAAGAAGGAGAGGACACAGUCUUAGUGGU